AUGACCUGUCAGCUCAGAUUAAUAUACUUGCUCAAAUUAAUAUAUUCAUUCAAACCUGUCACUAAAGACCAGACACAGGACAUGUCUCCACUAACCAAUGAUCUCUUCAUACGUCAACUUGCUGCGUCUGGCUCAGAUCUCUUUGGUCUGAAGAUUUAUGCUCCAUGGGUUAUGAGACUCAUCAAGCUCCAUUCUGCCAUAUCCUAUCAACCCUCAGCCCGCAACCACAGAAUCUUCUUACCUGAUGUGGACACUUCUGCUGAAGCUAUUUAUCCUGAGCCUGCCAAACAGCCACUAAGUCUUCAGAAUGCAGAACACCAAAGCUUCACUCAACAUGAUGAAGGUGUUGAAGCCAUUUCCAGAGUCUAUCCAAUGGCUGGCACCACACGUGCCCCUGCAUCCACUGAAGCCACUGACAGCGAAGCUGCACAGAGACCCAAGAAACGCACUCGUACACUCACUGAUCGUGAACUUCUUGUGGCUCUGCACCAAAAGCAAGAUAGGCAUCACGACUGGCUCAAGAGGCAGAUGCGCGGUAUCAUGCAAGACGUCAAUCGCAUCAGGAAUCUGGCCACCAAGAACGCCUUCGUCGCACAUGAAACCUGUCGCCGCACUUGGAAAGGCCUCACAAUGAUGUGCACUGAAGCCGAACUGCAAGAGGACGGCUUCAAAGAGAGAUUCAAGUUUGACUCCACACCCCCCAGACGAGCUGUGUUGCGUGGGACUCCGUCGCUUGAAGAAUCCGAGUUCUCUUCCUCUGCUGCCACCGUGACGGGAAAAAUCAUUGAGGAAGAAGACGACGCUACAUCACCACCAAUGUCUUCAGCGCGCGUCGUCACUGCACCAAGUUCGCCAGCACCACCAAACGCCUCCACCGACCCUGCUGCGCCUGGGAACGCUUAG
rnacentral:rRNA from 1 species